rnacentral:lncRNA from 1 species
GUUCAAAAAAAGAAAAAAAGAAACCCUAACUCUCUCAAGUUCAGCCGACAUCAUACAUUCAUCCAGAUCCAGCGUGCCGGUCAUCCACCGCCGCGUUCUAAUGAAGUUAAUUUGGAUGAGCUCACUGAAGAUAUAAUGUCACUUGAUAUUAGUGGAGAAUCAAAUGCUUCAAACUCAAUGAACACUUCUAAGGUAACCACUCCAAAUGCUUCGAGUAGUGUUGCUAAAAAACAAUGAACAAUCUAAGGUUUGAAUUGUUGGAAUUAAAGAUCUAAGAGGAGAACCAUGGCAACUUGGAAACUUUGAACUUGUUUUUAAUGGAUAUAUUGAAUUAUUUAAGUCUUUUGUGAUUUGCCGUUUAUGGAUUUUUGUUUUAAACUUGUUAAGUAUUCAGUAUUUUGUGGAUUAUUUAAGCUGUUUGUGAACUUUUGGCGAGUUUUGUUUCACUAA